GAUGAACGCUGGCGGCGUGCUUAACACAUGCAAGUCGAACGGAAAGGCCCAAGCUUGCUUGGGUGCUCGAGUGGCGAACGGGUGAGUAACACGUGGGUGAUCUGCCCUGCACUUUGGGAUAAGCCUGGGAAACUGGGUCUAAUACCGGAUAGGACCAUCGUUUAGUGUCGGUGGUGGAAAGUUUUUCGGUGUGGGAUGAGCUCGCGGCCUAUCAGCUUGUUGGUGGGGUAAUGGCCUACCAAGGCGUCGACGGGUAGCCGGCCUGAGAGGGUGUACGGCCACAUUGGGACUGAGAUACGGCCCAGACUCCUACGGGAGGCAGCAGGGGGGAAUAUUGCACAAUGGGAGCAAGCCUGAUGCAGCGACGCCGCGUGGGGGAUGACGGACUUCGGGUUGUAAACUCCUUUCGCCAAGGACGAAGCGUUUUGUGACGGUACUUGGAGAAGAAGCACCGGCUAAAUAAGUG
rnacentral:rRNA from 1 species